UCGAAAACUCAAACUCCAAAAACGAAAUGGCUGUUUCAUCCACAUAAAUUUUCUCUCCCUUACACUUCAACUUCUACUCUAACAACAACGACACCAACAAAAAGCACUCUUUUUUAACUGCAAAUCCUCUUACCUUCAAUAUCUCCUCGGAACCCACCAACACCAAAAAGGGCUCCUCCAUUAUCCUCUUUUCUUACAAAUCAGGAAGUGGUUUGACAGCUGAAGACAAGAGAGUUAUGAGGCAAAGAAUAAAAGGACAAAGGAAACGAAGAAGAAAGGAAAAGGAAAUGAAAUAGUAGCAGAGGAGGAAGCUAAGCCCCCUAGAACCACUCAUAAGUUGCUUCAGGUUCUUGGAGGAAAGCACAUGAAAAGAAGGA